rnacentral:rRNA from 1 species
AGAGUUUGAUCAUGGCUCAGAGCGAACGCUGGCGGCAGGCUUAACACAUGCAAGUCGAGCGGGCGUAGCAAUACGUCAGCGGCAGACGGGUGAGUAACGCGUGGGAACGUACCUUUUGGUUCGGAACAACACAGGGAAACUUGUGCUAAUACCGGAUAAGCCCUUACGGGGAAAGAUUUAUCGCCGAAAGAUCGGCCCGCGUCUGAUUAGCUAGUUGGUAGGGUAAUGGCCUACCAAGGCGACGAUCAGUAGCUGGUCUGAGAGGAUGAUCAGCCACAUUGGGACUGAGACACGGCCCAAACUCCUACGGGAGGCAGCAGUGGGGAAUAUUGGACAAUGGGGGCAACCCUGAUCCAGCCAUGCCGCGUGAGUGAUGAAGGCCCUAGGGUUGUAAAGCUCUUUUGUGCGGGAAGAUAAUGACGGUACCGCAAGAAUAAGCCCCGGCUAACUUCGUGCCAGCAGCCGCGGUAAUACGAAGGGGGCUAGCGUUGCUCGGAAUCACUGGGCGUAAAGGGUGCGUAGGCGGGUCUUUAAGUCAGGGGUGAAAUCCUGGAGCUCAACUCCAGAACUGCCUUUGAUACUGAAGAUCUUGAGUUCGGGAGAGGUGAGUGGAACUGCGAGUGUAGAGGUGAAAUUCGUAGAUAUUCGCAAGAACACCAGUGGCGAAGGCGGCUCACUGGCCCGAUACUGACGCUGAGGCACGAAAGCGUGGGGAGCAAACAGGAUUAGAUACCCUAGUAGUCC